AUGGCGGACGGGCGCGGGAGACGGAGGGAUCCCGUGCGGCGGCGUGAAGUCCUUGCUAGUGGCGUCGACGGCUGGGCGUGCGACGGCGCGGAGCCCUCCCGUUGCUACGGCGUCCGGUGGAGUGCCCUGAGGGCGCGGAUGCUGCUGCUACACCAGCACCACCAGCCCAAGGAUACAGUACUAGAGGUGUAUGCAGGAUACAGUAGUGGAGUUGGAAUUUCAGGGCAUCCAAAAAUAAUUUACUAUGCUUCAGACCUGCUGCAUCAAAGCUCGGUGCGGAUACACCUCUUCUUACAGGACAGGUUGUGUACAACUUAUGUUGAGCUUAAAUUUCCAUAA
rnacentral:rRNA from 1 species